rnacentral:rRNA from 1 species
GAACGGACGAGAAGCUUGCUUCUCUGAUGUUAGCGGCGGACGGGUGAGUAACACGUGGAUAACCUACCUAUAAGACUGGGAUAACUUCGGGAAACCGGAGCUAAUACCGGAUAAUAUUUUGAACCGCAUGGUUCAAAAGUGAAAGACGGUCUUGCUGUCACUUAUAGAUGGAUCCGCGCUGCAUUAGCUAGUUGGUAAGGUAACGGCUUACCAAGGCAACGAUGCAUAGCCGACCUGAGAGGGUGAUCGGCCACACUGGAACUGAGACACGGUCCAGACUCCUACGGGAGGCAGCAGUAGGGAAUCUUCCGCAAUGGGCGAAAGCCUGACGGAGCAACGCCGCGUGAGUGAUGAAGGUCUUCGGAUCGUAAAACUCUGUUAUUAGGGAAGAACAUAUGUGUAAGUAACUGUGCACAUCUUGACGGUACCUAAUCAGAAAGCCACGGCUAACUACGUGCCAGCAGCCGCGGUAAUACGUAGGUGGCAAGCGUUAUCCGGAAUUAUUGGGCGUAAAGCGCGCGUAGGCGGUUUUUUAAGUCUGAUGUGAAAGCCCACGGCUCAACCGUGGAGGGUCAUUGGAAACUGGAAAACUUGAGUGCAGAAGAGGAAAGUGGAAUUCCAUGUGUAGCGGUGAAAUGCGCAGAGAUAUGGACGCACACCAGUGGCGAA